GAGGGGUGCAAACGUUAUUCGGAUUAACUGGGCGUAAAGGGUGUGUAGACGGUAUGUUAAGUUGUCGUUAAAUCUUCCGGCCUAACCGGGAAGCUCGCGAUGGAAACUGGCAUACUUGAGGAUGGAAGAGAGAAGCGGAAUUCUCGGAGUAGCGGUAAAAUGCGUAGAUCUCGAGAGGAACACCGAUGGCGAAGGCAGCUUCUUGGUCCACUCCUGACGUUGAGACACGAAAGCAUGGGUAGCAAACAGGAUUAGAUACCCUGGUAGUCCAUGCUGUAAACGAUAAUCACUGGAUGUCAGCUUCGCUUUGCGAAGUUGGUAUCGAAGCUAACGCGUUAAGUGAUCCGCCUGGGAAGUACGGUCGCAAGAUUA
rnacentral:rRNA from 1 species